UACGGGGGGGGCAAGCGUUGUUCGGAAUUACUGGGCGUAAAGGGCUCGUAGGUGGCCAACUAAGUCAGACGUGAAAUCCCUCGGCUUAACCGGGGAACUGCGUCUGAUACUGGAUGGCUUGAGUUUGGGAGAGGGAUGCGGAAUUCCAGGUGUAGCGGUGAAAUGCGUAGAUAUCGGGAGGAACACCAGUGGCGAAGGCGGCCCCCUGGGCCGCUCCUGACGCUGAGACGCGAAGGCCAGGGUAGCGAACGGG
rnacentral:rRNA from 1 species